GUUAUAUGGUCAAGUGAAGAAGCGCAUACGGUGGAUGCCUUGGCAGUCAGAGGCGAUGAAAGACGUGGUAGCCUGCGAAAAGCUUCGGGGAGUCGGCAAACAGACUUUGAUCCGGAGAUCUCUGAAUGGGGGAACCCACCUAGGAUAACCUAGGUAUCUUGUACUGAAUCCAUAGGUGCAAGAGGCGAACCAGGGGAACUGAAACAUCUAAGUACCCUGAGGAAAAGAAAUCAACCGAGAUUCCCUUAGUAGUGGCGAGCGAACGGGGAUUAGCCCUUAAGCUUCAUUGAUUUUAGCGGAACGCUCUGGAAAGUGCGGCCAUAGUGGGUGAUAGCCCCGUACGCGAAAGGAUCUUUGAAGUGAAAUCGAGUAGGACGGAGCACGAGAAACUUUGUCUGAACAUGGGGGGACCAUCCUCCAAGGCUAAAUACUACUGACUGACCGAUAGUGAACCAGUACCGUGAGGGAAAGGCGAAAAGAACCCCGGAGAGGGGAGUGAAAUAGAACCUGAAACCGUAUGCGUACAAGCAGUGGGAGCCUACUUGUUAGGUGACUGCGUACCUUUUGUAUAAUGGGUCAGCGACUUAUAUUCAGUGGCAAGCUUAACCGUAUAGGGUAGGCGUAGCGAAAGCGAGUCUUAAUAGGGCGUUUAGUCGCUGGGUAUAGACCCGAAACCGGGCGAUCUAUCCAUGAGCAGGUUGAAGGUUAGGUAACACUGACUGGAGGACCGAACCCACUCCCGUUGAAAAGGUAGGGGAUGACUUGUGGAUCGGAGUGAAAGGCUAAUCAAGCUCGGAGAUAGCUGGUUCUCCUCGAAAGCUAUUUAGGUAGCGCCUCAUGUAUCACUCUGGGGGGUAGAGCACUGUUUCGGCUAGGGGGUCAUCCCGACUUACCAAACCGAUGCAAACUCCGAAUACCCAGAAGUGCCGAGCAUGGGAGACACACGGCGGGUGCUAACGUCCGUCGUGAAAAGGGAAACAACCCAGACCGCCAGCUAAGGUCCCAAAGUUGUGGUUAAGUGGUAAACGAUGUGGGAAGGCUUAGACAGCUAGGAGGUUGGCUUAGAAGCAGCCAUCCUUUAAAGAAAGCGUAAUAGCUCACUAGUCGAGUCGGCCUGCGCGGAAGAUGUAACGGGGCUCAAACCACACACCGAAGCUGCGGGUGUCACGUAAGUGACGCGGUAGAGGAGCGUUCUGUAAGCCUGUGAAGGUGAGUUGAGAAGCUUGCUGGAGGUAUCAGAAGUGCGAAUGCUGACAUGAGUAACGACAAUGGGUGUGAAAAACACCCACGCCGAAAGACCAAGGGUUCCUGCGCAACGUUAAUCGACGCAGGGUUAGUCGGUUCCUAAGGCGAGGCUGAAAAGCGUAGUCGAUGGGAAACAGGUUAAUAUUCCUGUACUUCUGGUUACUGCGAUGGAGGGACGGAGAAGGCUAGGCCAGCUUGGCGUUGGUUGUCCAAGUUUAAGGUGGUAGGCUGAAAUCUUAGGUAAAUCCGGGGUUUCAAGGCCGAGAGCUGAUGACGAGUCGUCUUUUAGAUGACGAAGUGGUUGAUGCCAUGCUUCCAAGAAAAGCUUCUAAGCUUCAGGUAACCAGGAACCGUACCCCAAACCGACACAGGUGGUCGGGUAGAGAAUACCAAGGCGCUUGAGAGAACUCGGGUGAAGGAACUAGGCAAAAUAGCACCGUAACUUCGGGAGAAGGUGCGCCGGCUAGGGUGAAGGAUUUACUCCGUAAGCUCUGGCUGGUCGAAGAUACCAGGCCGCUGCGACUGUUUAUUAAAAACACAGCACUCUGCAAACACGAAAGUGGACGUAUAGGGUGUGACGCCUGCCCGGUGCCGGAAGGUUAAUUGAUGGGGUUAGCGCAAGCGAAGCUCUUGAUCGAAGCCCCGGUAAACGGCGGCCGUAACUAUAACGGUCCUAAGGUAGCGAAAUUCCUUGUCGGGUAAGUUCCGACCUGCACGAAUGGCGUAACGAUGGCGGCGCUGUCUCCACCCGAGACUCAGUGAAAUUGAAAUCGCUGUGAAGAUGCAGUGUAUCCGCGGCUAGACGGAAAGACCCCGUGAACCUUUACUGUAGCUUUGCACUGGACUUUGAGCCUGCUUGUGUAGGAUAGGUGGGAGGCUUUGAAGCGUGGACGCCAGUUCGCGUGGAGCCAUCCUUGAAAUACCACCCUGGCAUGCUUGAGGUUCUAACUCUGGUCCGUGAUCCGGAUCGAGGACAGUGUAUGGUGGGCAGUUUGACUGGGGCGGUCUCCUCCUAAAGAGUAACGGAGGAGUACGAAGGUGCGCUCAGACCGGUCGGAAAUCGGUCGCAGAGUAUAAAGGCAAAAGCGCGCUUGACUGCGAGACAGACACGUCGAGCAGGUACGAAAGUAGGUCUUAGUGAUCCGGUGGUUCUGUAUGGAAGGGCCAUCGCUCAACGGAUAAAAGGUACUCCGGGGAUAACAGGCUGAUACCGCCCAAGAGUUCAUAUCGACGGCGGUGUUUGGCACCUCGAUGUCGGCUCAUCACAUCCUGGGGCUGAAGCCGGUCCCAAGGGUAUGGCUGUUCGCCAUUUAAAGUGGUACGCGAGCUGGGUUUAGAACGUCGUGAGACAGUUCGGUCCCUAUCUGCCGUGGACGUUUGAGAUUUGAGAGGGGCUGCUCCUAGUACGAGAGGACCGGAGUGGACGAACCUCUGGUGUUCCGGUUGUCACGCCAGUGGCAUUGCCGGGUAGCUAUGUUCGGAAAAGAUAACCGCUGAAAGCAUCUAAGCGGGAAACUUGCCUCAAGAUGAGAUCUCACUGGGAACUUGAUUCCCCUGAAGGGCCGUCGAAGACUACGACGUUGAUAGGCUGGGUGUGUAAGCGUUGUGAGGCGUUGAGCUAACCAGUACUAAUUGCCCGUGAGGCUUGACCAUAUAACACCCAAACA
rnacentral:rRNA from 1 species